UACGUAGGGCGCAAGCGUUAUCCGGAAUUAUUGGGCGUAAAGAGCUCGUAGGCGGUUUGUCGCGUCUGCCGUGAAAGUCCGGGGCUCAACUCCGGAUCUGCGGUGGGUACGGGCAGACUAGAGUGAUGUAGGGGAGACUGGAAUUCCUGGUGUAGCGGUGAAAUGCGCAGAUAUCAGGAGGAACACCGAUGGCGAAGGCAGGUCUCUGGGCAUUAACUGACGCUGAUGCGCGAAAGCGUGGGGAGCAAACAGG
rnacentral:rRNA from 1 species